AGAGUUUGAUCCUGGCUCAGAGCGAACGCUGGCGGCAGGCUUAACACAUGCAAGUCGAACGGGCGUAGCAAUACGUCAGUGGCAGACGGGUGAGUAACACGUGGGAACGUACCUUUUGGUUCGGAACAACUGAGGGAAACUUCAGCUAAUACCGAAUAAGCCCUUACGGGGAAAGAUUUAUUGCCGAAAGAUCGGCCCGCGUCUGAUUAGCUAGUUGGUAGGGUAAUGGCCUACCAAGGCGACGAUCAGUAGCUGGUCUGAGAGGAUGAUCAGCCACACUGGGACUGAGACACGGCCCAGACUCCUACGGGAGGCAGCAGUGGGGAAUAUUGGACAAUGGGCGCAAGCCUGAUCCAGCCAUGCCGCGUGAGUGAUGAAGGCCCUAGGGUUGUAAAGCUCUUUUAACGGGGAAGAUAAUGACGGUACCCGUAGAAUAAGCCCCGGCUAACUUCGUGCCAGCAGCCGCGGUAAUACGAAGGGGGCUAGCGUUGCUCGGAAUCACUGGGCGUAAAGCGCACGUAGGCGGACUCUUAAGUCGGUGGUGAAAUCCUGGAGC
rnacentral:rRNA from 1 species